rnacentral:rRNA from 1 species
CCUACGGGAGGCAGCAGUGAGGAAUAUUGGUCAAUGGGCGCGAGCCUGAACCAGCCAAGUAGCGUGAAGGAUGACUGCCCUACGGGUUGUAAACUUCUUUUAUAAAGGAAUAAAGUGAGGCACGUGUGCCUUUUUGUAUGUACUUUAUGAAUAAGGAUCGGCUAACUCCGUGCCAGCAGCCGCGGUAAUACGGAGGAUCCGAGCGUUAUCCGGAUUUAUUGGGUUUAAAGGGAGCGUAGAUGGGUUGUUAAGUCAGUUGUGAAAGUUUGCGGCUCAACCGUAAAAUUGCAAUUGAUAGUGGCGGUCUGGAGUACGGUAGAGGUAGGCGGAAUGCGUGGUGUAGCGGUGAAAUGCUGAGAUACCACGAAGAACUCCGAUUGCGAAGGCAGCUUACAAGACGGCCACUGACGUUGAUGCACGAAAGUGUGGGUAUCAAACAGGAUUAGAUACCCGGGUAGUC